UAAAUUCGGACUUUUGAGAAAUGUUGUGGC
rnacentral:piRNA from 1 species